AAACCUUUUUUUUAGAAGGGGAGAAAAAAAGAUUCACCAGAGAGAGAAGAAGAAGAUGACAACAAUGGUGACAGAUAUAGCGGUGGGAGUAUUUCUCUUAUUUAUAGGAUUUUUUCCCUGACCAACAUAAUUUAUCUAUUUUGUUUUUCGUUCUACUUUUUGCUUAACGAAUCCAUUAAAACUGUAUUGAAGAACAUCAUUGAUUGAGAGUAGAUGAGGUUCUGUAAUGGAGUUUUGAUGAACAGGAAACAGAGAAGACGAAGUCGAUGAGUGAGUCGUAGGGUUUCGUUGUUGACUCGGCCGCAGAUGACAUGGCAGUAAAGACAAAUUUGAUUGGUUGAUUUUCUGAUCUGACGUGGCAUAGCUAAGAAUGCUUCUUAUUCUCCUUUUAAUAGAGUUAGAUUUUGUAGUACCAC
rnacentral:lncRNA from 1 species